rnacentral:misc_RNA from 1 species
AGCAGCCGCGGUAAUUCCAGCUCCAAUAGCGUAUAUUAAAGUUGUUGCAGUUAAAAAGCUCGUAGUUGAAUUUCGGGGUUAGCAGGUCGGUCGUGCCAUUGGUAUGAACUGGUCUCGCUGAUCCCUCCCUCUUGACGAACUGUGAUGCCAUUAAUUUGGUGUCGCAGGGAAUCAGGACUGUUACUUUGAGAAAAUUAGAGUGUUUAAAGCAGGCUCACGCUUGAAUACAUUAGCAUGGAAUAAUGAAAUAGGACGUUUGAUCCUAUUUUGUUGGCUUCUAGGAUUGACGUAAUGAUUAAUAGGGAUAGUUGGGGGCAUUAGUAUUCAAUUGUCAGAGGUGAAAUUCUUGGAUUUAUUGAAGACUAACUACUGCGAAAGCAUUUGCCAAGGAUGUUUUCAUUAAUCAAGAACGAAAGUUAGGGGAUCGAAGACGAUCAGAUACCGUCGUAGUCUUAAACC